UCCGGUUUAUCACCGGCGGUCCCCCUAUAGUUGCCAACUUAAUGAUGCUAAAUAAGGGUAAGGGUUGCGCUCGUUGCGGGACUUAACCCAACAUCUCACGACACGAGCUGACGACAGCCAUGCAGCACCUGUCUCCGUGUGUAUCGCUACUAUUAUACAUCUCUGUACUUUUCACGGGAUGUCAAACCCAGGUAAGGUUCUUCGCGUUGCUUCGAAUUAAACCACAUACUCCACCUCUUGUGCGGGCCCCCGUCAAUUCCUUUAAGUUUUAGCCUUGCGGCCGUACUCCCCAGGCGGAUAACUUAUCGCGUGUGCUGCGGUACUGAAGGUUAUAUCCCUCCAACACCUAGUUAUCAUCGUUUACGGCAUGGACUAC
rnacentral:misc_RNA from 1 species